CCUCGCCGGUGCGGGGGGUGCGAGGGGCGCGGUGAGCAUCGGGAGUUGUAGUCCGAGUGAUGAGGCGGGCGUGUGGAGAACAUCCUGACACGUGAUUUUGCCGAGACGGUGUUGAUGGUGUCUUUCCAUUGCCAUGAGUGCCCCUUGAGGAUAGUCAGGCCUCAGAAGCAUUCAAGAAGGCGGGGAUCACUGCUGCCUAUGAGUUUUGGUUGGUCUGAGGUCUUGAUCUUCAAAUACGCUUUUCCUCAAUCAACCAAAGGCUGUGCUGGUGCGUUGAAGGCAAUGAUCUCCAUCAGCAUCCUUCAAAUGCCUUUGCGAGAGGGCAACUGUCUCCUAACGCAGGAUUCCCGGCUGAAAAAGGAGAUGGCUUUGUCUGAAGGUGUUAUAAAACAAUGUUUAAUUCUUUUGUAUAGAUUGAUGUUGUGGUAGCUUUCGUGAUUCAAGAUGAAAUUAUAUUGACCAGGAACAUCCUGGAUCUAGCUUGUUGCUGGAAGUAACCACCUUGU